GAACUGCGAUAAGUAAUGUGAAUUGCAGAAUUCAGUGAAUCAUCGAGUCUUUGAACGCACAUUGCGCCCCCUGGCAUUCCGGGGGGGCAUGCCUGUCCGAGCGUCAUUGCUGCCCUUCAAGCCCGGCUUGUGUGUUGGGUCGUCGUCCCCUCCGGGGGACGGGCCCGAAAGGCAGCGGCGGCACCGCGUCCGGUCCUCGAGCGUAUGGGGCUUUGUCACCCGCUCGAUAAGGACCGGCCGGGCGCCAGCCGGCGUCUCCAACCUUUUUUUCUCAGGUUGACCUCGGAUCAGGUAGGGAUACCCGCUGAACUUAAGC
rnacentral:misc_RNA from 1 species